rfam:Aedes albopictus isolate Foshan contig135168, whole genome shotgun sequence.
UGCCCAGCAAUUCCUAUCCCUACCUCCACGCGGUACCGGCCGGAAACUAUGAGCAACCUUAGGGAAGAUCGGGUAACCAACCCCGGUGGGAACUUUGGUCGUAGGCUGACAGGGAAGG